UCUCUGGUGGCUCAGACAGUAAAGCGUCUGCCUGCAAUGCGGGGGACCCGGGUUUGAUUCCUGGGUAGAGAA
rfam:Ovis aries breed Texel chromosome 18, whole genome shotgun sequence.